rnacentral:lncRNA from 1 species
GGCCACAUGGUAGCUGCAAAUGUGAGGAACAAUUUUGAAGAUGAAGGACGGCAGCUCAUUGACGAAUGAACAAUUUUGAAGAUGAAGGACGGCAGCUCAUUGAUGAAUGAACAAUUUUGAAGAUGAAGGACGGCAGCUCAUUGACGAAUGAACAAUUUUGAAGAUGAAGGACGACAGCUCAUUGACUAAUGACAUAAGUAACAAAAACUGGGUCUUGAAACGCAAGCGAAGAAAGCUGCCA